rnacentral:rRNA from 1 species
GGACGAACGCUGGCGGCGUGCUUAACACAUGCAAGUCGAGCGGUAAGGCCCUUUCGGGGGUACACGAGCGGCGAACGGGUGAGUAACACGUGGGUGACCUGCCCUCAGCUCUGGGAUAAGCCUGGGAAACUGGGUCUAAUACCGGAUAUGACUCCAUGACGCAUGUUGUGGGGUGGAAAGCCUUGUGCGGCUGAGGAUGGGCCCGCGGCCUAUCAGCUUGUUGGUGGGGUGANGGCCUACCAAGGCGACGACGGGUAGCCGGCCUGAGAGGGCGACCGGCCGACACUGGGACUGAGACACGGCCCAGACUCCUACGGGAGGCAGCAGUGGGGAAUCUUGCGCAAUGGGCGAAAGCCUGACGCAGCGACGCCGCGUGAGGGAUGACGG